rnacentral:rRNA from 1 species
GUUGGGUAGGGGAGCGUUCUGUAAGCCUGCGAAGGUGUACUGUGAGGUAUGCUGGAGGUAUCAGAAGUGCGAAUGCUGACAUAAGUAACGAUAAUGCGGGUGAAAAACCCGCACGCCGGAAGACCAAGGGUUCCUGUCCAACGUUAAUCGGGGCAGGGUGAGUCGACCCCUAAGGCGAGGCUGAAAAGCGUAGUCGAUGGGAAACGGGUUAAUAUUCCCGUACUGGUGGUAACUGCGAUGGGGGAACGGAGAAGGCUAGGUUGUCCGGGCGACGGUCGUCCCGGUUCAAGCAUGUAGGCAGAGUGAUUAGGCAAAUCCGGUCACUUAAUGCUGAGGUGUGAUGACGAGCCACUAAGGUGGUGAAGCAAUUGAUGCCCUGCUUCCAGGAAAAGCCUCUAAGCUUCAGGUUACCAACAAUCGUACCCCAAACCGACACAGGUGGUCAGGUAGAGAAUACUCAGGCGCUUGAGAGAACUCGGGUGAAGGAACUAGGCAAAAUGGUGCCGUAACUUCGGGAGAAGGCACGCUGGCGGUAAGUGAAGUCCCUCGCGGACGGAGCCGAAGCCAGUCGAAGAUACCAGCUGGCUGCAACUGUUUAUUAAAAACACAGCACUGUGCAAACACGAAAGUGGACGUAUACGGUGUGACGCCUGCCCGGUGCUGGAAGGUUAAUUGAUGGGGUUAUCCGUAAGGAGAAGCUCUUGAUCGAAGCCCCAGUAAACGGCGGCCGUAACUAUAACGGUCCUAAGGUAGCGAAAUUCCUUGUCGGGUAAGUUCCGACCUGCACGAAUGGCGUAAUGAUGGCCAGGCUGUCUCCACCCGAGACUCAGUGAAAUUGAACUCGCUGUGAAGAUGCAGUGUACCCGCGGCAAGACGGAAAGACCCCGUGAACCUUUACUAUAGCUUGACACUGAACAUUGAGCCUUGAUGUGUAGGAUAGGUGGGAGACUAUGAAGUGUGGACGCCAGUCUGCAUGGAGUCAACCUUGAAAUACCACCCUUUAACGUUUGAUGUUCUAACCUAGGCCCGUAAUCCGGGUCGGGGACCGUGUCUGGUGGGUAGUUUGACUGGGGCGGUCUCCUCCUAAAGAGUAACGGAGGAGCACGAAGGUUGGCUAAGCAUGGUCGGACAUCAUGCGGUUAGUGCAAAGGCAUAAGCCAGCUUGACUGUGAGAGUGACGGCUCGAGCAGGUACGAAAGUAGGUCUUAGUGAUCCGGUGGUUCUGAAUGGAAGGGCCAUCGCUCAACGGAUAAAAGGUACUCCGGGGAUAACAGGCUGAUACCGCCCAAGAGUUCAUAUCGACGGCGGUGUUUGGCACCUCGAUGUCGGCUCAUCACAUCCUGGGGCUGAAGUAGGUCCCAAGGGUAUGGCUGUUCGCCAUUUAAAGUGGUACGCGAGCUGGGUUUAGAACGUCGUGAGACAGUUCGGUCCCUAUCUGCCGUGGGCGUUGGAAGAUUGAGAGGGGUUGCUCCUAGUACGAGAGGACCGGAGUGAACGCACCACUGGUGUUCGGGUUGUCAUGCCAAUGGCAUUGCCCGGUAGCUAAGUGCGGAAGAGAUAACCGCUGAAAGCAUCUAAGCGGGAAACUUGCCUCGAGAUGAGUCUUCCCUGUCACCUUGAGUGACCUAAAGGAACGUUUAAGACUAAGACGUUGAUAGGCUGGGUGUGUAAGCGUAGCGAUACGUUGAGCUAACCAGUACUAAUGAACCGUGAGGCUUAACCUG